AUUGAACGCUGGCGGCAUGCCUUACACAUGCAAGUCGAACGGUAGAGGAGCAAUCCUCGAGAGUGGCGAACGGGUGAGUAAUGCAUCGGAACGUGCCCAGUAAUGGGGGAUAGCCCGGCGAAAGCCGGAUUAAUACCGCAUACGACCUACGGGUGAAAGAGGGGGAUCGCAAGACCUCUCGUUAUUGGAGCGGCCGAUGUCAGAUUAGGUAGUUGGUGGGGUAAAGGCCUACCAAGCCAACGAUCUGUAGCUGGUCUGAGAGGACGACCAGCCACACUGGGACUGAGACACGGCCCAGACUCCUACGGGAGGCAGCAGUGGGGAAUUUUGGACAAUGGGCGCAAGCCUGAUCCAGCCAUGCCGCGUGCGGGAAGAAGGCCUUCGGGUGUAAACCGCUUUUGUCAGGAAGAAAUCUUCUGGUUAAUUACCGUCGGGAGGAGUGACGGUACCUGAAGAAUAAGCACCGGCUAACUACGUGCCAGCAGCCGCGGUAAGGAUAGUACA
rnacentral:rRNA from 1 species